rnacentral:rRNA from 1 species
GGCGGACGGUCGAGUAACGCGUGGGGAUCUACCUUGAAGUUGGACAUAGCUCGUCGAAAGGCGGGGUAAUUUCCAAUGUGAACGUAAGUUCAAAGCCGCAAGGCGCUUUAAGAUGAACCCGCGUCCUAUCAGCUAGUUGGUGAGGUAAUGGCUCACCAAGGCAUCGACGGGUAGCUGGUCUGAGAGGAUGAUCAGCCGGAAUAGCACUGAGACACGGGCUAUACACCUACGGGUGGCAGCAACUGGGAAUCUUGCGCAAUGGACGAAAGUCUGACGCAGCGACGCCGCGUGGAGGAUUGAAGGCCCUCGGGUUGUAAACUCCUUUUGACUGGGAAGAUUAAGACUGUACCAGUAGAAUAAGCACCUGCUAACUACGUGCCAGAAGCCUCGGUAAUACGUAGGGUGCAAGCGUUAUCCGGAUUUAUUGGGCGUAAAGUGUUGCGUAGGCUGAUUUGCGCAUUUUGUUUAAAAGACUAAGGCUCAACCUUAGUUUUGGGCAAAAUAUGGCAAAUCUUGAUGGUUUAAGAGGGUACUGGAACUCUAUAUGUA